ACUAACUUGAAAACUGAAAACUAUACAGUUGUGCUUAACUUUAAAACACUGUCCUGAUAAAGUGCAAAAGAGUGCACAUCUAUUUACAUAUAUAUGUACAUAUAUAUUUGAAGUGUUGCUCUAUGGUUGAAGAAUAGUUAGCAUUUGCGCAAAGUAUAUAAAUAUACAUUGCCGUAGAGCUGAACAAAAACUUUGUAAAUUGUCUACAACUAAGAAUAGAGUUCUCCAAGUUGUUGCCAGCCAAAUCAACGGGUAAAACAGUUUCUCCGACUUAAACUUAACUCCACUUUAAAAGGAAAAAACAUUUGCUGUUCUAACUGAAAAGAUUUUUAAAUCGAGCAACAGUGUGGAACUGCCAUAUUUGGCAAAUAAAAUACUUCAGCACUAAAAAUCCAUAAUUAAAUACUAACAUUUGCAAAACAGUUAGCGCGUGAUAA